rnacentral:rRNA from 1 species
UACGUAGGGUGCAAGCGUUGUCCGGAAUUAUUGGGCGUAAAGAGCUCGUAGGCGGUUUGUUGCGUCGGCUGUGAAAUCCCGAGGCUCAACCUCGGGUCUGCAGUCGAUACGAGCAAACUAGAGUGUUGCAGGGGAGACUGGAAUUCCUGGUGUAGCGGUGAAAUGCGCAGAUAUCAGGAGGAACACCCGUGGCGAAGGCGGUUCUCUGGGACGGUACUGACGCUGGAGACGCGAAAGCGUGGGGAGCGAACAGG